rnacentral:rRNA from 1 species
GAGAUGUUGGUUAAGUCCCGCAACGAGCGCAACCCUCGACCUUAGUUGCCAGCAUUCAGUUGGGCACUCUAAGGUGACUGCCGGCUAAAAGUCGGAGGAAGUGGGGAUGGACGUCAAAUCAUCAUGCCCCUAUGACCUGGGCUACACACGUGCUACAAUGGGCGGUACAAAGGGUCGCGAACCCGCGAGGGGGAGCCAAUCCCAAAAAGCCGCUCUCAGUUCGGAUUGCAGGCUGCAACUCGCCUGCAUGAAGCCGGAAUCGCUAGUAAUCGCGGAUCACGCCAUGCCGCGGUGAAUACGUUCCCAGGCCUU